AAGUCGUAACAAGGUUUCCGUAGGUGAACCUGCGGAAGGAUCAUUCACAAACGAGUGUUUUAUGGCACUCUUUAAAAAUCCAUAUCCACCUUGUGUGCAAUGUUUGUUGGGAAAGUCUUUUCUUUCCCUUCAUAAAUAUCAACCUAUAUCUUUAACAACAUUCGUCUGAUAACAUAUUAUGAAUAUACUUAAUUCAAAAUAUAACUUUCAACAACGGAUCUCUUGGCUCUCGCAUCGAUGAAGAACGCAGCGAAAUGCGAUACGUAAUGUGAAUUGCAGAAUUCAGUGAAUCAUCGAAUCUUUGAACGCAUAUUGCGCUCUUUGGUAUUCCGAAGAGCAUGCUUGUUUGAGUAUCAGUAAACACCUCAACCUCUCUUUUUUGAUAAAAAAAAGGGAGGGUGGACUUGAGCUAUCCCAACGACCUUCACCGGUAGGCGGGCGGCUUGAAAUGCAGGUGCAGCUGGACUUUUAUCUGAGCUAAAAGCAUAUCUAUUUAGUCCUCGUCAAACAGGAUUAUUACUUUUGCUGCAGCUAACAUAAAGGAUAAUUGUCCUCUUUGCUGACUGAUGCAGGAUUUUACGACACUUCAUGUGUUGUUCAACUCGAUCUCAAAUCAAGUAAGACUACCCGCUGAACUUAA
rnacentral:rRNA from 1 species